UACGUAGGGGGCAAGCGUUGUCCGGAUUUAUUGGGCGUAAAGAGCGUGUAGGCGGUUAGGUAGGUCCGUUGUGAAAACUCGAGGCUCAACCUCGAGACGCCGAUGGAAACCAUCUGACUAGAGUCCGGAAGAGGAGAGUGGAAUUCCUGGUGUAGCGGUGAAAUGCGCAGAUAUCAGGAAGAACACCCGUGGCUAAGGCGGCUCUCUAGUACGUGACUGACGCUGAGACGCGAAAGCGUGGGGAGCAAACAGG
rnacentral:rRNA from 1 species